GUAGAAUCCUUUGCAGACGACUUAAAUACGUGACGGGGUAUUGUAAGUGGCAGAGUGGCCUUGCUGCCACGAUCCACUGAGAUUCAGCCCUGCGUCGCUCAGAUUC
rnacentral:ncRNA from 1 species